rnacentral:tRNA from 1 species
GGGGCCGUGCCUGAAGUAAAGGGCCACUUUGAUAGAGUGAAUCAUGAGGGUUAAAACCCCUCCAGCUCCU